rnacentral:rRNA from 1 species
AUUGAACGCUGGCGGCAUGCCUUACACAUGCAAGUCGAACGGCAGCACGGGUGCUUGCCCCUGGUGGCGAGUGGCGAACGGGUGAGUAAUACAUCGGAACAUGUCCUGUAGUGGGGGAUAGCCCGGCGAAAGCCGGAUUAAUACCGCAUACGAUCUACGGAUGAAAGCGGGGGACCUUCGGGCCUCGCGCUAUAGGGUUGGCCGAUAGCUGAUUAGCUAGUUGGUGGGGUAAAGGCCUGCCAAGGCGACGAUCAGUAGCUGGUCUGAGAGGACGACCAGCCACACUGGGACUGAGACACGGCCCAGACUCCUACGGGAGGCAGCAGUGGGGAAUUUUGGACAAUGGGCGAAAGCCUGAUCCAGCAAUGCCGCGUGUGUGAAGAAGGCCUUCGGGUUGUAAAGCACUUUUGUCCGGAAAGAAAUCCUUGGCUCUAAUACAGUCGGGGGAUGACGGUACCGGAAGAAUAAGCACCGGCUAACUACGU